GACGAACUGUCCAAACGUUGUUCGGAAUCACUGGGCUUAAAGGGCGCGUAGGCGGUCGAUCAAGUCAGGGGUGAAAUCCUGCAGCUUAACUGUAGAAGUGCCUUUGAUACUGGUCGUCUCGAGGGAGGUAGGGGUGUGUGGAACUUCCAGUGGAGCGGUGAAAUGCGUUGAUAUUGGAAGGAACGCCGGAGGCGAAAGCGACGCACUGGACCUCUUCUGAUGCUGAGGCGCGAAAGCUAGGGGAGCAAACGGG
rnacentral:rRNA from 1 species